GGGCCGGUGGCGCAGCCUGGUUAGCGCACCAGACUUUUAAUCUGGCAGUCGCGGGUUCGAAUCCCGUCCGGCCCA
rnacentral:tRNA from 1 species